rnacentral:rRNA from 1 species
AGCUUGCUUCUCUGCUGACGAGCGGCGGACGGGUGAGUAAUGUAUGGGGAUCUGCCUGAUGGAGGGGGAUAACUACUGGAAACGGUAGCUAAUACCGCAUAAUGUCUCCGGACCAAAGCGGGGGACCUUCGGGCCUCGCGCCAUCAGAUGAACCCAUAUGGGAUUAGCUAGUAGGUGAGGUAAUGGCUCACCUAGGCGACGAUCUCUAGCUGGUCUGAGAGGAUGAUCAGCCACACUGGGACUGAGACACGGCCCAGACUCCUACGGGAGGCAGCAGUGGGGAAUAUUGCACAAUGGGCGCAAGCCUGAUGCAGCCAUGCCGCGUGUAUGAAGAAGGCCUUAGGGUUGUAAAGUACUUUCAGUCGGGAGGAAGGUGUUGAGUUUAAUAUGCUCAGCAAUUGACGUUACCGACAGAAGAAGCACCGGCUAACUCCGUGCCAGCAGCCGCGGUAAU